UCCGGAGGGAAGCGAGUGGCGAACGGCUGAGUAACACGUGGAGAACCUGCCCCCUCCCCCGGGAUAGCCGCCCGAAAGGACGGGUAAUACCGGAUACCCCCGGGCGCCGCAUGGCGCCCGGGCUAAAGCCCCGACGGGAGGGGAUGGCUCCGCGGCCCAUCAGGUAGACGGCGGGGUGACGGCCCACCGUGCCGACAACGGGUAGCCGGGUUGAGAGACCGACCGGCCAGAUUGGGACUGAGACACGGCCCAGACUCCUACGGGAGGCAGCAGUGGGGAAUCUUGCGCAAUGGGGGGAACCCUGACGCAGCGACGCCGCGUGCGGGACGGAGGCCUUCGGGUCGUAAACCGCUUUCAGCAGGGAAGAGUCAAGACUGUACCUGCAGAAGAAGCCCCGGCUAACUACGUGCCAGCAGCCGCGGUAAUACGUAGGGGGCGAGCGUUAUCCGGAUUCAUUGGGCGUAAAGCGCGCGUAGGCGGCCCGGCAGGCCGGGGGUCGAAGCGGGGGGCUCAACCCCCCGAAGCCCCCGGAACCUCCGCGGCUUGGGUCCGGUAGGGGAGGGUGGAACACCCGGUGUAGCGGUGGAAUGCGCAGAUAUCGGGUGGAACACCGGUGGCGAAGGCGGCCCUCUGGGCCGAGACCGACGCUGAGGCGCGAAAGCUGGGGGAGCGAACAGGAUUAGAUACCCUGGUAGUCCCAGCCGUAAACGAUGGACGCUAGGUGUGGGGGGACGAUCCCCCCGUGCCGCAGCCAACGCAUUAAGCGUCCCGCCUGGGGAGUACGGCCGCAAGGCUAAAACUCAAAGGAAUUGACGGGGGCCCGCACAAGCAGCGGAGCAUGUGGCUUAAUUCGAAGCAACGCGAAGAACCUUACCAGGGCUUGACAUAUGGGUGAAGCGGGGGAGACCCCGUGGCCGAGAGGAGCCCAUACAGGUGGUGCAUGGCUGUCGUCAGCUCGUGUCGUGAGAUGUUGGGUUAAGUCCCGCAACGAGCGCAACCCCCGCCGCGUGUUGCCAUCGGGUGAUGCCGGGAACCCACGCGGGACCGCCGCCGUCAAGGCGGAGGAGGGCGGGGACGACGUCAAGUCAUCAUGCCCCUUAUGCCCUGGGCUGCACACGUGCUACAAUGGCCGGUACAGAGGGAUGCCACCCCGCGAGGGGGAGCGGAUCCCGGAAAGCCGGCCCCAGUUCGGAUUGGGGGCUGCAACCCGCCCC
rnacentral:rRNA from 1 species